ensembl:lncRNA
GUUACUUCUGAGGGGGGUGACUGGAAGGGUGUAAAGGCUGGGGGUGGUGCUAGGGAGUUUGUUUUGCCAUGCAGAACGUUUGGGAUCGGACAAGCAGCGUUGACAGUGACAAAACAGGUCAUAUAAUAAUGCUGGGAAAAGGACAAAGCAGUGGAUACCCCCCUGAGACAACAAGCAACACCUUACAGAGCAGCUCUGACAGCCAGCUGGAUCGCUGAUGUCACUCUGUCCAAAGCUGACUCACCUGGCCCUCAGCACUCAGCACCCAGUUUGACACUCAGUGUUAGCAGAUCCCAGCAUCACUUCGGGACCUUUGGACGGUGUUGACAAUAAGGGUCUCCAGUUGGGUGUCCAGCUCCCAGGCAGUUCGCAG